UGAGGGAUUUUCGGCAAUGGGCGAAAGCCUGACCGAGCGACGCCGCGUGAGCGAAGAAGGCCUUCGGGUCGUAAAGCUCUGUCUAGGGGGACGAGCAAGGACGGUACCCCUGGAGGAAGCCACGGCUAACUACGUGCCAGCAGCCGCGGUAAUACGUAGGUGGCGAGCGUUGUCCGGAAUUACUGGGCGUAAAGGGCGCGCAGGCGGCUCGUUAAGUCCAAGGUGAAAUCCCACGGCUCAACUGUGGGGGGACCCUGGAUACUGGCGUGCUGGAGUGCGGGAGAGGGAAGCGGAAUUCCACGUGUAACGGUGAAAUGUAUAGAUAUGUGGAGGAACACCGGUGGCGAAGGCGGCUUCCUGGACCGUAACUGACGCUGAGGCGCGAAAGCUGGGGGAGCGAAC
rnacentral:rRNA from 1 species